CUUCUCCUGUUAUAUCCUUCCUGGUAAUAUCCUUCCACGAUGUGUGCAUAUUAUAUCGCGUCGAUAUAUGAGACAUAUACAUGCGUAUAAUUCGUCUCGGUGAAAUGCAAUACAGUAAGAAAAGACUCUACCAGGGUAUAAAAGAGGGUGCGUCUCGUUAGGUUUGUAUCAGUUCCAAUAGUAAUCCCUGCAUCGCUGUAUCACCGUCAUCAUGAACGCUAUACUUCUGUUAACCAUUCUCAAUCUGGCAAUGCCUAUUUUUGGCGAAGAGACACAGGUGAAGAGACAAGAUAAAAGAGGCAUUCUAGAUUUAAGUCACGGCGGAUUUGGAGGAUCUGUGCUUCAAGGGGAUUCUUUAGCUAUUGGAGCAGAUUAUGGGCAGAGCUAUUUGGGUGGCGCUUCUUUGGGUCAUGGUAUCUCUGCGCCUGCCUAUUCCAAUAGUUACAACGCGCCCCUGUAUUCGUCGCCUCUCGAUUAUUCCGGCGGUCUCGGUUCAGGACAUGGUGGACCAGGUUACGCUUCUGGAGGACUCGGAUACGACACGGCAGGACUCGGAUAUGGUGCGGCAGGACUCGGCGGAUAUGGCGCGGCAGGUCUCGGCGGGUAUAGCGCGACAGGGCUCGGAUACGGCGCGGCAGGACUAGGAUAUGGCGCGGCAGGACUCGGUUACGGCUCGGCAAGAUCUGGAUACGGCGCGACAGGAUUCGGAUAUAACGCGGCAAGACUCCGAUACAGCACAGCAGGACUCGGAUAUGGUGCAGGAUAUGGCACUGGUUCUACGAUUGGCAGCGGUUACCGCCACGGAUGGUGAAACUAACGAGCAAUAUUAAUGUCGAUAUAAUUCUUUUUUCGAUCCUACAUUCCUUUUCUAAUCAUUUAUUUCCAAGUUUUAUAUCAUGCGGCUUCUGAAUAAACUUUUUGUACUUUUUAAUAACUUUGGAAUAUCUUUUCCCUAUGGCGUUUAUUGCGGCGAAGGCAUGAUGCCGUUUUUUCGCGCCACGUAUGUCUUUAAUAUAAUUUAAUUUUAGUUUAUUUAUAUGUGUAUAUUUAUAAAGUAUUAUUAUUAUUGCUUUAUUAUUACUAGUAUUUUUUUAACUAGAAAAAAAUCAUACAAAAUUAUGUAUAAAAUAUGUGUGUUCACACAUUACUUACAAUCGGCAAGUAGAAUUUCUAUUUUAAAUAUACCUUUAUUGACAGUUCUUUUUGUCGCUGCUAGGUGUCUAGCGGUAACAAUAACUUGCUUGAAUAACACAAGAUUAAGUUAAGUAGGAAAAGUGUAUUAAUUACGUUAAUCAUGAAUGUCCUGGGCAGGAGUAUGAUAAAUAUAGCAAGAGCUGGCAUAGCAAAUUCCAUUCGAGGUAGCGCAUCAAAUCUGACCAAGUUCUAUGGGAAUAGUUAUAUCCAAGGAAAUAUACUAAGUGCCGCAAGAACAUGUGUGAAUACAACGUUGCAAGCGAUCUGCCAUUUCUACUGGCAAUUGGCAAUUUGAUAUUGAGAGAAAUAACAAAAAACUAUGACUAUGCAGAUAAGGGAUAAAAAAAGAAAAUUUUUGGUGUGCUCAAUCUUAAAUAGCCUAUUAUCUCUUUAUCUCAUGAACACAUAGAAUGCUUGAUGCAUAUAUGCCUUUGUUAGUAACUAAUAUUUUGCAGUAGUUCUUUUUCUCAUAAAAAAUUACAAUAUUAUUUAUACUAUUAUCUAUCAUUUAUAUUGAAUUAUUUUUAAUUAUAUUAAUACGAGAAGAGUAAGCUCAAUUUUAGAAAAUCAAAAAUCAAGAUACAAAUCGAGUUGUAAGAAACAGAUCGGUGGUUUGAUAACUCAUUUACUGAAAUACAUGCGUGAAAUCACAAUAUAUUAUGUGUAAAAUGUCAGGACUCCUCGUAUUUCUCAUAACUGCGAAAUGGUCCUCGGGAGGACCCAUUAUAUAGACGCUCUUGCAGAUACGUAUCUCUGCGAUUUUCUCGGGUCCGGCAAGCGCGAAAAGAGUGUUCGAGAUUUGAAGGAAGUCGGCCAAAUUUCCCAUCGGACAUUAUUCCGCUGCGAAAAUACGCGCAGCUUUCACCUCUUUGAUCCCCACAGAGAGAUCUCAGAAUACAGAAAGGGAUCCUAUUCGCAAGAAAGGGCUCGGACGGCGUAAAGACGGUGCUCUGUGACCAACAGCGAAAAUCGUUGGGAAUUGAAGGGGGUGACGUGUCCAUUUGCGGUUGACCAGUUGUCACUGGGGAGGAUCAGGACGUACGAGAACGGUUUUCGCGUAUUUUCCCCUUUCCGCUUUUCUCGCGUCCCUACAAAGGGCUGGGCCCCCACACGUGAGCCAUUCACAAGACACUCAUGAGAGCGUUUGCGAAGGACGCCUUAUCAAAAUUGGAGGGUUCGUCAAUUUGAUAAUGCAAUUUGAUAAAAUGUUUUUAUCUGUACUUAGUUUUUGUAUUGCACUUAUCUCUGUUUUUAAUAUUUUUGCUUUAUUUUUCAUCUGAUCAAGAUAUUAAAUUAUUUAUAUAGGUCUCCAUAUAUUUCCUACACAUUCCACAGAAAAAAAAAAUUUAUUUCUAAAACUUCUCGACAAAAAUAUAUA